rnacentral:rRNA from 1 species
GGACAAGCUACUAAGGGUCUGAGGUGGAUGCCUAGGCACCAAGCGCCGAGGAAGGACGCGGCUACCUGCGAAAAGCGCCGGGGAGUUGGAAGCAAAUGAUGAUCCGGCGAUAUCCGAAUGGGGAAACCCGCCUGGGGGAAUGCCCAGGCACUCCCGGUUGAACACAUAGACCGGGUAGAGGGCACCCGGGGAACUGAAACAUCUUAGUACCCGGAGGAAAAGAUAUUCCGUUAGUAGAGGCGAUCGAACGCGGAGCAGCCUAAACCGUGUACGUGCCAAGGUGGCAGCCGUUGCGUACGCGGUGUCGUGGGAUCGCUCUGCCGGUACUGCUGGACCGGCGAGGAGUUACAAAACCGGCGGUUAGCCGAGGUCGGUGGAAACCGACGCCACAGAGGGUGACAGCCCCGUAGGCGAAAACUGACCGGACUCCUGAGCGACACCCGAGUACCCCGGGACACGCGGAAUCCUGGGGGAAUCCACGCUGACCACAGCGUAAGGCUAAAUACGCUUGGUGACCGAUAGUGAAGAGUACCGUGAGGGAAAGGUGAAAAGAUCCCCGGAAGGGGAGUGAAAUAGAACCUGAAACCGCAGACCUACAAACUGUCAAAGGCCUAGGUAUGGGGUUGCUCCCAUACAGGCUGAUGGCGUGCCUUUUGUAGAAUGAGCCGGCGAGUUACUGUUUGUGGCGAGGUUAAGGGGGUGACACCCGGAGCCGCAGCGAAAGCGAGUCUGAAUAGGGCGUGGCCCCGCAAGGGGUUGUAGUCGCAGGCAGUAGACCCGAAACCGGGUGACCUACCCAUGGUCAGGGUGAAGCGAAGGUAAAACUUCGUGGAGGCCCGAACCGACUUAGGUUGCAAACUGAGCGGAUGAACUGUGGGUAGCGGUGAAAUGCCAAUCGAACCCGGAGAUAGCUGGUUCUCGUCGAAAUGCCUUUAGGGGCAGCGUUG